UUAGGUAUGUUAAUCUAGAGUGGUCUGCUAUCAUAUUCCAUGAAGUAAGUCUUGAUCGAUUUAGAUCGGAAAUAGGAGUUCCCACUUUCACCAAAGGAUAGAUGAGAGGUAGAAGACGAACAGUGGAGGGACGCAUGUAAGGAAAGUAGAGGGCCGCGCGUCGCCGGAAAGAUGGGACACGUGUCCGGCGUGGAAUGGCGGAGGAAAAUCACAAAAAAAA